AUGGAUACAACUGCAGAAAAUAGACAAGUGAGGAUGCUGAUGCGUGAGGUUAAGUAUUUUAACCAAUACAACCUCAUAAGCAUGACGUUCUAUGUUAGGAAAAAUGGGAAAUGCCAACUACACACAGUUUGGGCUGAUAAAAUUGAGAGGACAUUUUGCUCAGUGUCCUUGGCUUAUUUUACAGAGCAUAAGUUCCUAGGAGAGUGUACUAAAAGAAACAGGACUAAUCCCAUCACUGGGACCUGGAUGUUGCAUGAUGCAAUUCGUCAGUUCCAAAAAUCUAUACUUUUCCAGCACAUGAGGGAGGCUUAUAUCGACUCCCCAGUGAAUUGAGAUACAUUUUGUCUAAACACCACCAUCCUAUUUGAAGCCCGAUUUAUUAAUGAUGGGAAUUAUAACACAAUCUCUCAGGAGCACUGGCAGCUGGAACAAAUAUCACUGAAGAAAUGUGGAAAAAAUAUGUGAAGCUGACUCAGAAACUUAAAAUUCCUACUAAAAAUAUUGAAAAUGUCUAUGAAACAAGU
ensembl:lincRNA